UGUGUUAGCAGUGUUAAACCAUGUGUCAAGAAGGAGAAGCAUGUUUGCUUUACAACCAUGGUCUUCUCGUAGUGCAGAUUCCUGGUUUUGUGAAUUGCCUCCAUUAUCAGCUCUAUCUGUGAAGAUAACAGAGCCAGAGUCAACACAUCACUGACCACUGAAACUCCAUGAUGGACUAUACGGCUUAGGAAAGGAAGAGGCACAGGCCAAAUUCAGAUGGCCUUAAGGACUUAUGUCCACCUAAAGCAUCUAAACAAAACCCACCUUUUAUACUUCUAGCUAAGGCUCCACUCCUGUAUGCAAAGGAACUCUACAAUCCCAGCAAUAUAUAGUACUGUAUCAUCUCCAUAGAAUCUAAGAAAAUUGGGAACCCCACUCAUUCUGCUACGUCCAAACAUCCAGCAGUUUUCCCUCAUUUUCCAGAAAGAGGAAUCUCAAGCCAGAAGAGGUUAAAAGGCUUGUCAAUUUUAGCAAACCCUAUGAACAUCAAGCAAGGCUAUAUAUAUGAGAUAUAUGUAUAUCUGCUUUAAGAACAUUCCUGGUUGAGGCUGGUGUCUCUGGUGCUGAGCCCCUGCAACAGAUGGCCCCAAAAGGCAUCCAAAGGAGAAGAUGUGGCAGUGAGAAGAAGGAAGUCAGAGGUUCAGCAGCAGACUUUCAACAUAUAGGAAGGAGCUCAGGACUUCCCAGCAGCAGCAGGCAUUCAGAGCAUGCAGGGUGCUGGGGCAUGGUGGGAGAAACGAGCCAGAAGCCAGGAUCCAUCCGCAAGGAUGGUGAUGGAUCAACACCCUGACCUUCUUCCGGUGUAGUUUUUGCUUUUCCCUGAAUUCCUCCAUUUUCUUUGCUUCUUCCCAAAGUGUUUUCUGCCAGCUGGAUCUGACCUUGUCCCACACUGUCUACCUCUGCAAAGAAAAGAAAGUUUCAUAU